UGGGGAAUAUUGCGCAAUGGGCGAAAGCCUGACGCAGCGACGCCGCGUGAGGGAUGAAGGUUUUCGGAUCGUAAACCUCUGUCAGAAGGGAAGAAACCGCACUGUGCUAAUCAGCAGUGCCUUGACGGUACCUUCAAAGGAAGCACCGGCUAACUCCGUGCCAGCAGCCGCGGUAAUACGGAGGGUGCAAGCGUUAAUCGGAAUUACUGGGCGUAAAGCGCACGUAGGCUGUUUUGUAAGUCAGGGGUGAAAUCCCACGGCUCAACCGUGGAACUGCCUUUGAUACUGCUUAGCUUGAAUCCGGGAGAGGGUGGCGGAAUUCCAGGUGUAGGAGUGAAAUCCGUAGAUAUCUGGAGGAACAUCAGUGGCGAAGGCGGCCACCUGGACCGGUAUUGACGCUGAGGUGCGAAAGCGUGGGGAGCAAACAGG
rnacentral:rRNA from 1 species